GACGUAGGGCGCGAGCGUUGUCCGGAUUUAUUGGGCGUAAAGAGCGUGUAGGCGGCCAGGCAGGUCCGUUGUGAAAACUCGAGGCUCAACCUCGAGACGUCGAUGGAAACCGUCUGGCUAGAGUCCGGAAGAGGAGAGUGGAAUUCCUGGUGUAGCGGUGAAAUGCGCAGAUAUCAGGAAGAACACCUAUGGCGAAGGCAGCUCUCUGGGACGGUACUGACGCUGAGACGCGAAAGCGUGGGGAGCGAACAGG
rnacentral:rRNA from 1 species